GGAGAGAGAGAUUUCAAGAUUCAACUCAGACAGAAGCAGUAGAUCACAGAGCAGUUAAGGACUGACUUUUCUGGAGAGAUGAGAAUCAUCUACAGGGAGGGAAAUGAGGCCAACACAGGUCCAACAGUAGGCCAAGAUAGAAGUGGUUGAUAGAAAGAUCCACCAUGGGUUGCUGUGAGACCUGUCCUCCAAACUAGACAGGCCGAGCUCUGUGAACCCCCUGAUAUCAUGGCUUUUUCCUUGACAGUGCCCUCCAUUCCAUUUGUAAGAAAGAAGCACUGUUGUGUUUCCUGUCAUCGCCCUAGUGGUGAACUCAAGGAAAGCAGGAUGUGGAAGGUAAAAUUGACUAAGAUUUACUCCACCCAUUUUUCUUGGAAGCCAACCCCUUUGUAAUCCAUAUAAAUUCCGCACCACAGGGACUGUGACUGCAGAAACUGGCAUCCAAUUUGCCCUGGAGUUCAAACUCAAAGUUUAGGUAAGUAGCCUAGAGAUGACAUCAGAGACUAUUUCUGACUGAGAGCUGGAACUGAGAGAG
rnacentral:lncRNA from 1 species